AAGACGACACAUUAAGUAAACCGAAAAUAACGCUGUGUGAAAAAAACGAAUCGAAAACUGGCCAAUCAAGUUGAAUCAAUACAAAGUGAUAAGACUUCCGCAUGCCUAAAUAAUAUUUACAAUAAAUAAAACGCAAGAAGCAGCACGAACAAAUUUAUUAACUUCUGUGCUGUGUAAGACAAACGCACAAAACACACAAAAGUAUCGAACCGAGCGCAAAGGCAAACAAAAGACUGAAGGCACAAACUUGAAAUGCAACUUUUUUUUCUUUAGGCACUGUUAAUAGAAUUCUCAUAUAUAUUUAUUGGGCGGACAAUUGAUUGCCACAAUUACGUCAAAAGCAAACAAUCGGCGAAGUCUUUUAAAGAGAAAGGCCCCAGAUUUAAAAGCUUGUCCACAAAAAAUAAACUGUCGACUAGCCGAAUUAAUAUUAAAUACAAAUCAGGCUUUUAGCCAACCAAGACCGGAGACCAUAAAUAUCAAACAAGUUGGCAACCAGCCAAUGCAAAACAAAGACAAGCCGAAAGACAACUCGAAAGUUCAGGUUUUUGAUAUUGGAUUUUGAUUUCUUCUGACGCUAGCACCACCAAAUGGCGGAAACAGGGGAACAGAGAACUGGGGAAGACCAAAAUGUGUAGCGCAGAAAUUGUAGAGCACACGAUCUGCAGUUUGAAACAUUAGAAAAUUCCUUAACUUUACAAAAAUAUUAUCUAAUUGUACACCCAUUUGAUACCAUGUUUAUGUCUAACCAACUUCUUUUCGAUCCCCAACAGAUGCAGGACUAUUGGCACAUUCCCCGCGCCUCGCUGGCAUCCUCCUCGAGCUCGGCCAUCAGUUCGGCCAGCUCCUCCAAGUCCUCGAACAAAUCGCACUCGAAUCCGCCUACCCUAAACCAGCGCAGUUCGCCCAGUAACAGUAGCAGCAUUAACAAUAACAAUAAUACAAGUGCUGCAGUAACUGCGGCAGCAGCGGCGGCUGUUCUGGCGGCAGCCAAGAGGGGAUCGAGGAGCUCCCAGGGCUCCAGCGACAGUAACAACAGCACGCGGAGCGCUGCUUCCGGCUCACUGCUGUUGACGGCAGCGAAUCUGGAACGCUUUGCGGAGAUCCACAAGAAGCAGGAGCGCCACAACAAGAUGCUGAUGCCCAGCAAUCCCUCCUCGUCAAACUAUAAUGCUAACCUGGCCCUCGGCAGCGGCAAGGAUGCGGUUAUCGCCAUCGAGGGUCAGCAGCCGGCCGACGUCGAUCCCAAUUUGCAGUAUGUGAAAACCAAAGACCUGGAUACCGUAUCCAUCGCUAGCUCCAUGCACUUCACGAUGGUCAAUGGAGAGGGUGGUCCGCCAAAGAAACCGAAGCGUGGUCUAUGCGAUCGCGGACGCCAGGUCACCGUGUUGAUUGUCAGCAUGAGUACCAUCUUCAUGCUGCUCAUCAUGGGCAUGGUCUAUGCGCUGGAGAUGCGCGCCCGCGACAUGCCCAAGAGCUAGGAUUUAAUACCCCUGCCUAGCCAAUUAGCAUAUUAUUUAUUGUAUUGUCUUUGUCCCCCAUUAUUAUUAAUUUUAUUAUUGUUAUCGUGUCGUCUUGGCGCUAGUUGUAUAAGAUAUUUAUUUAAAGAUUGUUUGGAUGGAGUGUCGAGUCAGUCGAAGCUGGGAAAAUUCAUUAGUAUUAAGCGCGCUAUGCUAUGGAGACAGAGAAACAUACAAGAAACUAGAUCUGGAGCGGAUCGGACAAACGCCGUCUGGUAUCGGAUAAUGCUGUACUUUCUGGGUUGGUGAAUCAAAACUGUCGUGGGUUCAAUGACUUGGGCUUUCAGCUAUGGCCGCUGCCUAGCAACCAGCGACUAAGGUAGUCGGACAAGAAAACACCAAUUAAGUGUUUAAUCAAAGAUUUUAGCUUAUCGACAACUAAUGUAAAUGUACAAGUAAAGUAAUAAAUAAUAAUUAUGUUUGACGCUACUCAAAAACCAACAGCACAAAUAAGGACAUCAAUUACGCAUUGAAAGAUUGAGCUUCUAAAACUGCUAGCUACUAUAUAACUAUGACAACACCUCACUGGGCCAACAUGGCAGAAAAACAGGGUUAGGGACCACACGUG
rnacentral:misc_RNA from 1 species